rnacentral:tRNA from 1 species
CUGUAGCCCAGCUGGAUAGAGCGUUUGGCUACGAACCAAAAGGUCGGGGGUUCGAAUCCCUCCAG